rnacentral:rRNA from 1 species
GAUGAACGCUGGCGGCGUGCCUAAUACAUGCAAGUCGAGCGAACAGACGAGGAGCUUGCUCCUCUGACGUUAGCGGCGGACGGGUGAGUAACACGUGGAUAACCUACCUAUAAGACUGGGAUAACUUCGGGAAACCGGAGCUAAUACCGGAUAAUAUAUUGAACCGCAUGGUUCAAUAGUGAAAGACGGUUUUGCUGUCACUUAUAGAUGGAUCCGCGCCGCAUUAGCUAGUUGGUAAGGUAACGGCUUACCAAGGCAACGAUGCGUAGCCGACCUGAGAGGGGGAUCGGCCACCAUGGAACUGGGACGCGGUACAGACUCCUACGGGGGGCAGCAGUAGGGAAUCUUCCGCAAGGGGAGAAAGCCUGGCGGAGCAACGCCGCGUGGGUGAAGGAGGUCUUCGGAUCGUAAAACUCUUUUAUUGGGGAAGAAAAAAUGUGUAAGUAACUAUGCCCGUCUUGGCGGGACCUAAUCAGAAAGCCGCGGCUAACUACGU